UUUCUUUCCUAAUCAUCUUCACUUCAAUACUCUUUUUCCAUUUUCAUUUUCAGAAAAAAGAAAAAAAUGGGUCUUUCUGUUAUGAACAACAACAACAGUGGCACUACUGAAAAACACCAUCACAUCCAUAAGCUGUUCCUUUUAUGCAAUUACAUCUUAUUAGGAUGAGGAUUUGAAGGAUUGGCCAUGGCCUUUUCAAGUUUGAUAGGUUGAUUUGGUUUGGCUAGUAGCAGUAAUCUUGUGCUGUGUGUCAAUCCAGUUUCAACUACAGCUUUCUCUUAUGUUCAACGUAUUCAAAUUGUUUUUUGUAUUUCAUUAAUUCGUCAUGUUUGAAUUAGUUCUAAAUCUAAAGGAGAAAGAAGGGCAUGUAAAAGGGUAUCCUUAUUAUAAUGUAAUUUUGUGUGGGUUAUAAUUUUGUCAAUCAAAAUAUGAGGUACUGAAUUAUUAUUAUUAAUAUUGUUUUUACUAAAUUUGAGGUACAAAAUUUAACGAUCUCAACACCUAAUUAAUGAUAGUCUUUUUUAUGA